GAUGAACGCUGGCGGCGUGCCUAAUACAUGCAAGUCGAGCGAACAGAUGAGGAGCUUGCUCCUCUGACGUUAGCGGCGGACGGGUGAGUAACACGUGGAUAACCUACCUAUAAGACUGGGAUAACUUCGGGAAACCGGAGCUAAUACCGGAUAAUAUAUUGAACCGCAUGGUUCAAUAGUGAAAGACGGUUUUGCUGUCACUUAUAGAUGGAUCCGCGCCGCAUUAGCUAGUUGGUAAGGUAACGGGUUACCAAGGCAACGAUGCGUAGCCGACCUGAGAGGGUGAUCGGCCACACUGGAACUGAGACACGGACCAGACUCCUACGGGAGGCAGCAGUAGGGAAUCUUCCGCAAUGGGCGAAAGCCUGACGGAGCAACGCCGCGUGAGUGAUGAAGGUCUUCGGAUCGUAAAACUCUGUUAUUAGGGAAGAACAAAUGUGUAAGUAACUAUGCACGUCUUGACGGUACCUAAUCAGAAAGCAACGGCUAACUACGUG
rnacentral:rRNA from 1 species